rnacentral:lncRNA from 1 species
AUGAGAAUUUUUUUCUCUCUGUUUCACGCACUGCAGUCCCUUGUGCCUCCCUCCUCACUUUCUUGUUAUAUAUCUAUUUCUUCUUGCAUUUUUAUUACAGUACUGCAACUAGAAAAUAAUCUUUCUAUGCUAAUUCACCAAAGUUCUGCAACUUUAGCACAAGAAAUACUCCUGUAUUUCUCCCUGGUUGACUUGACAGGUUCAUUGAGACUAGUGGAAUGAUUUGAGAGAGCGCUAACUAAUUUCAGAGAGACCUCCACAGCCUUGGUCCACUUUGGGAAGUUGGAUUUAAUAGUAUGUGAAAAUGACUGAAACCAAAAGCAGGCACAGAGGUGAGAAUUCUCAGUGGUUCCUGUGGAUAUACCUUCAUAGUUGGUGAAAUCCACAUUCUUAUCUGAGGUUUACCUCAAAUCUCCCCCAACUAUUCUUAUCCCCUUAAAUCCAUGCCUGCCUUCCUGCCCAUUGAAUAUUGACAUAUUUGCUCAGAUGGAGCUAUAGGAUAUAGUCUGUGUUCAAGCUUGUCUACUUUGCAGUGAACAUGUAAGUGAAAUUCACUUUUUCUCCAAUUCUACUCUGUAUCUGAAAAUUUCUGACCUUUUUUUCUUUCCUCGUGCAUCAGAAACUACAUGUGCAUGUCUUUGUGUGCUGGCCAUUCAAAUCCUCAUUUCAGAUGCUUUACCUCAUAUCUGUUUUGCUUUAUUCAUCUCAGAAACAGCUAAAAGAAAUCUGUUUGAUGUUGGUGCUUACUGACCAGAGUUCUGUUAAGUCAGACAUGGUGAUUCUCAUAAGCAGCGCAUGUGAAUGAGUACUCACCUCUGAAGGAAAGACAAAAAUUGAUCAUUAUAAUAGAUACCUAGAAGUAUUCCAUAAACAAGAAUUCUGAGUUGCUCUCUGAAGUCUUCACUGACUCCUGUAGAGGAUACCAAAAUUCCUAGUUUGGGUAUAAGGAGCUUGGGCAGAACUUGCUGGUGUGUAUUUCUUAAGGCACCUCCAAAGAGGCCAGCACACCUUCUAGUAGCAACUUCUUAUCUGUUGAGUCCUGGCUUUGUCAUGCCUCUUGCAGCACAAGUACAUCUGA